rnacentral:lncRNA from 1 species
CUCGAUUUAUGUAUAGAGACCAAGUUAGAAGGUAUCAUCUUGUGGAGAUGGAUGUAUAAUCAGCUAAUCAAAAAACUAGUAAAAAGUCAUCUCACAAGCAUUCUGUCAUCACUAAAACUCAGGUUUGGACGAAGCAUCAAGAAGACCUCCAAAUCACAGCAUAGGGUUUAAUUGGCAUGUUUGAUACAAUAUAAAGUGCUUCAUCAAUUUUUCCAUUACGUGCUAGAAGGUCAAUUAGGCAACCAUAGUGGUGUAAAACUGGCUAUAUAUCAUAUUCAUUAACCAUCAUGGAUUAAUCUUCUCGUACAUAGGGGAUCCAUAAUGGUGUCCAAAAUGGACACAUGGAGAUACCCAUAGCAUAGCCCAACCAUCAUAUAUGACAAUUUUGCUACAAGUACAAAAAUAGUUUGAUAGAGUUCUUACAGGAAGACACUUGACAAUUUUUUGUUGGUUUUUGACACAACAACGCAGAAAAUACAUCAAUGCAACAUGCAGAUGCUGCCAACACAUGGCCUGUAUCAUUUAUGUCAAUAAUUCCUUGCACCUAUGGAAUUACUCCAUAUGUGAUUACAGUUGCUCAAUUAGCCAACAAAUGUGAUCCAGUUAGGCAUCAAUCUUCCUUCACCAAUCAUUGGACAGAUAUUUUAUACACUCUCAGCUUCCCCGUGCAUUGCAAAUCCUAAAAUCACUUCGAAUACAUUUCCACCAGAGAAUUGUUCAGCGAAACAUCAAAAUUUGCAUUAAAUUCGCACUUUCUCGAUAGAUAUGCAUGAGCACAUAUCCCACAAAGUCCUCAAUCCUGCGCAAGCAUCUAUGUGUAUCCAUCCCAACGAACCAUUUUUUCAUCUCAACGAACAUAUUCAACCCCUCAUGAAACUCUCCCAUUUGAAUGAGCACAUCCAUAAUCACGUUCCAGUUCCACGAAUACACUUCUCUCAGGCAUCUUAUCAAACAUCUUUCUCGCAUGUUCCAUUCACCCUCAAGAAGCAUAAAAAUGUAUCAAACUGUUGCUUAUAUAGACAUCUGAGCCAAACCCAUUUUCCAAAUGUUGGGCGUGAGCCUUGUCUCCCUUCAUUAAUAGCCAAUAAAUAAAUACAGGGUUUUAGAACAAAGGAAAAAGUACGUUUAACCGGGCAAGGUUUUCUUGUUCAAGCAGCUCCUGGAGUGAAAAGACAUGUUCAUUGUGUUGCUAUGAUCAUAAGCUCGAAUGAGAACGUUGUACGUGAAUGUGUUGGGGAUAGGGAUUUGGUUGAAGAGUUGCAGUUUACCGUAGAGGAAGAUAUUGUGGGAUGAUGCUCUGGUGUCAAUCUCUCAAUAAUCAAAUUGAGAUGGUUAAUAGCUGCCAAGAUUCAAGGGGCUUAAAUUUACUAGGCCUCGAACAAUCCAACAUUUUCCCCCAAACAACUCCUACCCCACCAGAUCUUCUUUUUAUGUAAGAUUAUUAAUAAUAAUUAUUAUUAUUUUUUUAUUUUGUUUAACUAAUUAAAAAGGCUCGCAUCUUUUGCUUGCCUUAGGUUCGUGUUAGGUGGUCGAAAAUUGAAUUGAUCUCAUUUUUCAUGCCUUUCUCAAAUAUGAUGCUGUAUCUUCAUUCUCUCUCGUUUAGACCGACUUAAAGGCCGCAUUCUCUCUUUUUAGAGUCUAUAUGUAUACAGUGGUCAAUAGGUUGGCUAUAAUACAUUCUAUUGUUUUUUAAUAUUAAAGCGCAAUAAGUUUUAUAAAAAGAAAAAAAAA